GGAGGUGUGGAGGAGUGGAGGAGUGGAGGUGCAAAGGUCUGGAGAUGUGGAGGUGUUGAGGUGUGGUUGCAUGGAGGAGUGGAGGUGCUGCUUUUGCAGUCCUCUGACACACCACCGCCUCCACCGCUCACUGUGAUAGGCAAAAGCAUAGUCAUGUGUUCAUCUAUCUACUUCAUGUCAUGGCGCCCCCUUGUGUCUCACCUCAUGCCACAGUUUUUGUCAUUGAUCGAUUGUAAUAAAUGACUUUCCCCCUUUUGCUAGCACUUAGCUUCUGUGCCUAAAACCUUUUCUCUCAUUGUCAGAUGUGAAAGGUGUGUGUCCUUUCAUGCCUCCUCUGUAAACUGGUGCCACACUCACGGAGGGUCGCGACGGUCGUGACAACUAGUCAGCUAAUAAGCCUGUGGGCAACUUUAUAUCGACUGUGUCAACCUGACGUAGGUGAAGGGUCACAUGACCUCUCCUGGGACCUCCUGCCAUCCAUCUAACUGAUUCUGUAUUGAAAGUGUUGCAGGACGUUUGUGGUUGUACAUGUUAAAAUGAACUGAAGCAGCUGCGUGGUCUCUCUUUGCUUUCAUCCAAGACUCUGACGCUGUAAUGUUCCGCCUCACCCCUGCUGUCAGGUUGGAGCCUCACCCGCGACCCUGUCUCCUCGCUGACACCCCGCCCUCCUCCUCCU